AGGGUUUGAUCCUGGCUCAGAUUGAACGCUGGCGGCGUGCCUAACACAUGCAAGUCGAGCGGCAGCGCGGGAGCAAUCCUGGCGGCGAGCGGCGGGCGGGUGAGUAACGCUUGGGAAUCUGCCUGUUAGUGGGGGACAACCCGGGGAAACUCGGGCUAAUACCGCAUACGCACUACGGUGGAAAGCCGGGGACCGCAAGGCCUGGCGCUAACAGAUGAGCCCAAGUCGGAUUAGCUAGUUGGUAGGGUAACGGCCUACCAAGGCGACGAUCCGUAACUGGUCUGAGAGGACGACCAGUCACACCGGAACUGAGACACGGUCCGGACUCCUACGGGAGGCAGCAGUGGGGAAUAUUGGACAAUGGGGGAAACCCUGAUCCAGCGACGCCGCGUGGGUGAAGAAGGCCUGCGGGUUGUAAAGCCCUUUCAGUGGGGAAGAAAAGCCUCGAGUUAACACCUCGGGGUCUUGACGUAACCCAUAGAAGAAGCACCGGCUAACUCUGUGCCAGCAGCCGCGGUAAUACAGAGGGUGCGAGCGUUAAUCGGAAUUACUGGGCGUAAAGCGCGCGUAGGCGGCUUUGCAAGUCGGGCGUGAAAUCCCCAGGCUUAACCUGGGAACUACAUUCGAGACUGCAUUGCUAGAGUAUGGGAGAGGGAAGUGGAAUUUCCGGUGUAGCGGUGAAAUGCGUAGAUAUCGGAAGGAACAUCAGUGGCGAAAGCGACUUCCUGGACCAAUACUGACGCUCAUGUGCGAAAGCGUGGGGAGCAAACAGGAUUAGAUACCCUGGUAGUCCACGCCAUAAAC
rnacentral:rRNA from 1 species